UGCGUAGGCGGAUUAAUAAGUGAGUGGUGAAAACCUGCAGCUUAACUGCAGACCUGCCAUUGAUACUGUUAGUCUUGAGUACGGUCAAGGUAGGCGGAAUGUGUAAUGUAGCGGUGAAAUGCUUAGAUAUUACACAGAACACCGAUUGCGAAGGCAGCUUACUGGGCCAUUACUGCCGCUGAGGCACGAAAGCGUGGGGAGCGAACAGGAUUAGAUACCCUGGUAGUCC
rnacentral:rRNA from 1 species